UAGGAAGAGCGCGUGCCCUGAAGAGACUAAGUCUGUUUCCUCAUUUAAAAAAGGAGUGAAAAUCACUUAGUGAUCCAUUAGGUCUUUUCAGCUGCGACAUCCGGUGUUUUCUCUUUAAACCUUUUAUUUAAAAAUGUCUGUAGACUAACAAAAAGUUACAAAAAUAGUGCAGAGGUCCUGUGACCCAUUCGUCAACGCCCCCAGUGCAACGUCUUAUGUGACUAAUCACUGCAGGACUGCAUCACGGGGACCGGGCAUUUGACAGUGGCAGAGAACAGCUAGCUCGGCUGCAAAGCUCACGUGCUCACAUUUUUGCACACGCUUGUUUUUUGUAUGUGAGUGCACCAUCAUGAGAAUGCUUCAGCGAGCCCUUUUGAGCACUCUGGAAAGAAGUGGGAAGAUGGAAAGAAUGCAUCGUGUGGUUUGGAGCAAGUGCUGGCAGCCGAGGGCCUGGGCUGUCUGACUACACUGCUUCUCAGUGACGUGGAGCUCUGGCUGGAUUCCAAGCGUGUGGCAAGGGUGACCAGGCACGCACCUGCAGCUGUCUUCAUCCACGACCUGCCCUUCCUCCUACCUAAACCCAGCUCCAGUUUCAGAGCCCACCUUUUCCUUCCUCCUCAGAGACCUCUCUCCCUUCCCACUGGUCUGUUCCCUCUGCCUCAGUCUCCCAAACAGCCAAUGUUUUCCUUUAGAGAUGUUCUGAAGCACAAUGUUGACAAGCCUAGACUCUGGGGCCACACUGUCUGGGUGUCCCUCCUCUGCCCCUUACCUCCUGUGCGAUCCUAGGCAAGUUCCUUAGUUGUUCUCUGCCUCAGUUUCCUCAUCUGAGAGAAUAAAGAGCCCACUUUAUACGGUGGCUGUAAAGACCAAAUGAUACUCUCUGUGUAAAGUGCUAAGAACAGUCCCUGGCACACAGUACACUCUGUGUAAGUGUUUGCCAGUGUUAUUUCAUAGCCUGACAUCUUGAGGGGUUGCCAGAUAGGCUAGCUCCACUUCUCUACUUCCUCACACAGCUAAAAAAAACAAAACCGUCUAUUCUAGAACAGUUUAAGCACAUGAAACUAGAGAAUUGUGUGAUGAACCCCAAACUAGUUUUACUUAACCAACACACACACACCACACACACACUUUUAAAGUAUGUCAGGUCAGAGGCCGUUUUCACCUAUCGGCACUUCAGUAUGC
rnacentral:lncRNA from 10 species